CUCACAAGUUGCUCCCUCAUUUAUAUAAGAUCCGAUACAGUGAACACACAGAACAUUUCGGAAUGGAGAUGCUGCUUUUGUUGAGUAAACUGAACGGGCAGCAGGUCGGCUUGACGGUUCUACAUUUAUUUGUGGUCAGUUGGAAAACGAUCCUCAAAGUUGCUGGUCUCCUGUUUACAUAUCUGGUGUUAUUAAUCCAGUUUCGCGAUACCCAUUCUCACAAGAUCCACAAAGUUACUUUC